AUUGAGCGCUGGCGGCAGGCCUAACACAUGCAAGUCGAGCGGAUGAAGGGAGCUUGCUCCUGGAUUCAGCGGCGGACGGGUGAGUAAUGCCUAGGAAUCUGCCUGGUAGUGGGGGAUAACGUCCGGAAACGGGCGCUAAUACCGCAUACGUCCUGAGGGAGAAAGUGGGGGAUCUUCGGACCUCACGCUAUCAGAUGAGCCUAGGUCGGAUUAGCUAGUUGGUGGGGUAAAGGCCUACCAAGGCGACGAUCCGUAACUGGUCUGAGAGGAUGAUCAGUCACACUGGAACUGAGACACGGUCCAGACUCCUACGGGAGGCAGCAGUGGGGAAUAUUGGACAAUGGGCGAAAGCCUGAUCCAGCCAUGCCGCGUGUGUGAAGAAGGUCUUCGGAUUGUAAAGCACUUUAAGUUGGGAGGAGGGGCAGUAAGUUAAUACCUUGCUGUUUUGACGUUACCAACAGAAUAAGCACCGGCUAACUUCGUG
rnacentral:rRNA from 1 species